UACAGAGGUCUCAAGCGUUGUUCGGAUUCAUUGGGCGUAAAGGGUGCGUAGGCGGCCAACUAAGUCGGACGUGAAAUCCCUCAGCUUACUGGGGAACUGCGUCCGAUACUGGAUGGCUUGGAUUCGGGAGAGGAAUGCGGAAUUCCAGGUGUAGCGGUGAAAUGCGUAGAUAUCGGGAGGAACACCAGUGGCGAAGGCGAGUCUCGUGGGCUGAUACCGACGCUGAGGCGCGAAAGCCAGGGGAGCAAACGGG
rnacentral:rRNA from 1 species